GCUUCCCCUAGAAGCAUUUGAGAUGUGGCUAUUGUGUCCAAUAUGCAUCAGUAGGUGGCAAAAUGAAAGGCUAUGUCUAUACUCAGUGUUCUGGCUUAUGAACAUCUGAAUGAUUAGUAGACUAACAUU